rnacentral:rRNA from 1 species
GACGUAGGGUGCGAGCGUUGUCCGGAUUUAUUGGGCGUAAAGAGCUCGUAGGCGGCUCGUCGCGUCGACCGUGAAAACCCGCGGCUUAACUGCGGGCUUGCGGUUGAUACGGGCGGGCUAGAGUUCGGUAGGGGAGACUGGAAUUCCUGGUGUAGCGGUGAAAUGCGCAGAGUAUCAGGAGGAACACCGGUGGCGAAGGCGGGUCUCUGGGCCGAUACUGACGCUGAGGAGCGAAAGCGUGGGGAGCGAACAGG